GGAACCGUAGCUCAGUUGGUAGAGCACUCGGCUUACAUCCGAAAGGUCAGAGGUUCGAGCCCUCUCGGUUCCA
rnacentral:tRNA from 1 species